AGGUAUCGUAAUUGAAGAGGUUUGGAAAGACCCACCACAGAAGGUAAUAGUCCUGUAUGUUAAACGAGAAGACUUUAGAUAUGAUCCAGAGUACCACGGGACACGUGAAACCCUGUGGGAAGCAGGAGGGACCACCCUCCAAGGCUAAAUACUACCUAGUGACCGAUAGCGUAUAGUACCGUGAGGGAAAGGUGAAAAGAACCCCGGGAGGGGAGUGAAAUAGAACCUGAAACCCUGCACUUACAAGCUGUGGAAGCACAUUUCUUGUGUGACCGCGUACUUUUUGUAGAACGGGCCAACGAGUUACGUUAAGUAGCAAGGUUAAGCACUUAAGGUGCGGAGCCGUAGCGAAAGCGAGUUUUAACUGAGCGUUCAGUUACUUGACGUAGACCCGAAACCGGGCGACCUACCCAUGAGCAGGAUGAAGCGAAAGUAAAAUUUCGUGGAGGUCCGAACCCACGAGCGUUGAAAAGCUCGGGGAUGACUUGUGGGUAGCGGUGAAAUUCCAAUCGAGCCCGGAGAUAGCUGGUUCUCCCCGAAAUAGCUUUAGGGCUAGCCUCAAGGUGAGAGAUACGGAGGUAGAGCACUGAAUGUCCUAGGGGGUAUUGCACCUACCGAAGACUAUCAAACUCCGAAUGCCGUCAUCUUAUACUUGGGAGUCAGACUGUGGGUGAUAAGAUUCAUAGUCGAAAGGGCAACAGCCCAGAUCGUCAGCUAAGGUCCCUAAAUGUAAGUUAAGUGGUAAAGGAUGUGGGAUUGCACAGACAACCAGGAUGUUGGCUUAGAAGCAGCCACUCAUUCAAAGAGUGCGUAAUAGCUCACUGGUCGAGUGAUCCUGCGCCGAAGAUUUCCGGGGCUAAAACUUACUACCGAAGCUACGGCAUCAGUAAUGAUGGGUAGGGGAGCUUCCCAUACGGGUUGAAGCAUGACCGUAAGGACAUGUGGACAGUAUGGGAGUGAGAAUGUUGGCAUGAGUAGCGAGAUGUGGGUGAGAAUCCCACAGGCCGUAAACCCAAGGUUUCCAGGGGAAGGUUCGUCCGCCCUGGGUUAGUCGGGACCUAAGCUGAGGCCGAAAGGCGUAGGUGAUGGACAACAGGUUGAUAUUCCUGUACUACCGAUAACCGUUUGAGAGAAGGGAUGACACAGUAGGAUAAGCUAAGCACACUGUUGGUUAUGUGUGCCCAAGCAUUGAGGCAGUCAAAGUAGGCAAAUCCGCUUUGAUAAUGCUAGGAUGUGAUGGGGAGCGAAAUUUAGUAGCGAAGUAGCUGAUUUCACACUGUCAAGAAAAGUCUCUAUCGAGGUUAAAGGUACCCGUACCGCAAACCGACACAGGUGGGUGAGGAGAGUAUCCUAAGGCCAGCGAGAGAACUGUUGUUAAGGAACUCGGCAAAAUGACCCCGUAACUUAGGGAUAAGGGGUGCCACCAUCAGGUGGCCGCAGAGAAUAGGCCCAAGCGACUGUUUACCAAAAACAUAGGUUUCUGCUAAGUCGCAAGACGAUGUAUAGGAGCUGACGCCUGCCCGGUGCUGGAAGGUUAAGGGGAUCUGUUAGAGCAAUCGAAGCAGUGAACUUAAGCCCCAGUAAACGGCGGCCGUAACUAUAACGGUCCUAAGGUAGCGAAAUUCCUUGUCGGGUAAGUUCCGACCCGCACGAAAGGCGUAACGAUUUGGGCACUGUCUCAACAACAGACUCGGUGAAAUUGUAAUUCCGGUGAAGAUGCCGGAUACCUGCGACAGGACGGAAAGACCCCAUGGAGCUUUACUGUAGCUUGACAUUGGGUCUUGGUACUACAUGUACAGGAUAGGUGGGAGGCUUUGAAACCAGGACGCCAGUUUUGGCGGAGCCAUCCUUGGGAUACCACCCUUGUAGUACUGGGACUCUAACCAUAGGCCAUGAAUCUGGUCUUGGGACACUGUCAGGUGGGCAGUUUGACUGGGGCGGUCGCCUCCCAAAAGGUAACGGAGGCGCUCAAAGGUUCUCUCAGUACGGUCGGAAAUCGUACGUAGAGUGUAAAGGCAAAAGAGAGCUUGAUUGCAAGACAUACAGGUCGAGCAAGGAUGAAAAUCGGACUUAGUGAUCCGGUGGUUCUGCGUGGAAGGGCCAUCGCUCAACGGAUAAAAGCUACCCUGGGGAUAACAGGCUUAUCUCCCCCAAGAGUCCACAUCGACGGGGAGGUUUGGCACCUCGAUGUCGGCUCAUCACAUCCUGGGGCUGUAGUAGGUCCCAAGGGUUGGGCUGUUCGCCCAUUAAAGUGGUACGCGAGCUGGGUUCAGAACGUCGUGAGACAGUUCGGUCCCUAUCCGUCGCAGGCGUAGGAAAUUUGAGAAGACCUGUCCUUAGUACGAGAGGACCGGGAUGGACG
rnacentral:rRNA from 1 species